UGAGGAAUAUUGGUCAAUGGACGCAAGUCUGAACCAGCCAAGUAGCGUGCAGGAUGACGGCCCUAUGGGUUGUAAACUGCUUUUAUAUGGGGAUAAAGUGGGGAACGUGUUCCCUUUUGCAGGUACCAUAUGAAUAAGGACCGGCUAAUUCCGUGCCAGCAGCCGCGGUAAUACGGAAGGUUCGGGCGUUAUCCGGAUUUAUUGGGUUUAAAGGGAGCGUAGGCCGUUUGGUAAGCGUGUUGUGAAAUGUAGGAGCUCAACUUCUAGAUUGCAGCGCGAACUGUCAGACUUGAGUGCGCACAACGUAGGCGGAAUUCAUGGUGUAGCGGUGAAAUGCUUAGAUAUUGGGAGGAACACCAGUAGCGAAGGCGGCUUUCUGGACUGCAACUGACACUGAGGCACGAAAGCGUGGGUAGCAAACAGG
rnacentral:rRNA from 1 species